rnacentral:rRNA from 1 species
UACGUAGGGUGCAAGCGUUGUCCGGAAUUAUUGGGCGUAAAGAGCUCGUAGGCGGUUUGUCGCGUCUGCUGUGAAAACUCGGGGCUUAACCCCGGGCCUGCAGUGGGUACGGGCAGACUAGAGUGCGGUAGGGGAGACUGGAAUUCCUGGUGUAGCGGUGAAAUGCGUAGAUAUCAGGAGGAACACCGGUGGCGAAGGCGGCUUUCUGGACAGUAACUGACGCUGAGGCGCGAAAGCUAGGGGAGCAAACAGG